CCAGGGCAGGUUGCGGGCAGCACAGGCCAGCCAGGUGUGGUAUAAAGAAUAAGCCCAAGGAGAAGGUGGGCAGGGCUCGACGCCAGGUGGCACUAACAGCUGGGCAUAUGGCUGGGAAAGCUGUUAACCUCCUGAGCCUCUUAACUUGUGGUAUUGUGGUCCAAAGAGUGAGUCUCCCACUCUGGAAUUGAUGUCACAGAAUCGAUGGUACACAGGUAUGGUUAAAAGGGUUUGGAGGUGGACGUGGUUCUCCCCGUCUCAGACACAGGGGACGCUGCCAAAGGAGAAGGGGGAAGAGGAGAGGAGGAAAGGAAGGAGGAAGAGGCAGCAGAAAGAGGAAAUCUGUAAUAGUCCAUUGGGCUGGGCGAAUAGAAGAGGGCAAACGACCCAGAUCGGCCCUGCUCGUUUUCACCGUCUGCUUUAAACUACAUGCGCCGAAGCAGACAUUUCCACGGCAGCUUGCAAACCUUCUGCAAACGAGACAACCAAGAAAGCUAAAUGUAACAGCGAGGAGUCUGCUCUGACAUCAGAAACAAGAGGCACCUGGCCUAGGAGGGAUGAAAUGAAACCACCAAGGUCGGGGCAGCUGGAGGGCAUGAAAAUAAAUGAAACACUGGCGCCCA